GGGCUCUGCCCCGAGGCAGGGCUGCCGAAAGGCGAUUUACCUGCGGGCAGGCACCCCCGAGCCUGAGCUGGGGGGCAGCCGUCAGAAAAAGCCGUUUUCGGCUCAUUGAAGCACGGUGAUGGAGAAUGCAUCCAGAGCAUGUAACAAGGAUGCUGCGGGAGCAUCCACAUGCAGCGCUGGGUGAGAGAGGUCAGAGCUGCCCCCGGACCCGGCUGAAUCACACAGUAACUCCUGCAGAAAAAUGCACCAGCCACACACACCUCUCCCAGCUGUUUUCACAGCAGUAUGAUCCAAGGCAAUGCAGCCCUGCAAUAUAUCUGAGCUGAUCUUGAGCACAGGCAGCUGUGGGAAGAGGCUGCGGAGCCAGUUGGUGCAGUUAACCUUGACAAAAUGUAAUCAAGACAAUCAAGUUUCUUUCUGCAAGCUCUUGAGAAAUUCAGCGAGCUUGUACGGAUAUCCAGAACUUCUAAGGCUCUUCCACGUGGAGCAGGGCUCUUCCCUUCAGACUGCCUGGCAGUUUGUACCUUGAUGCAAAACAGCUGUUGGCUAUAAAGCCAUGAGAUGUGGUGACAGCUUUCUUAGCUGUAGGCUUGCCAAAAGAAAACGUACCUAAAAUACAGCUAAACUGGAAUCUCAAAAAUAGCUCAUGUUCAUGUUCUGCAAAGGGCAGUCCUGGUCCUGUCUGCCUCUGCAACAGCCGAUGCCAUUUCAGAAGUAAACUAUGAUUAUGUGAAGGCUUAAUCUUGUGCAAAAAAAGACUGAGUAACCAAAGGCUUGCUCUCAAGAGGACAAGAAAGCAGGGAGAUAGCGGCAAAUGUUCCUGUGAGUUUUGUUGUGUUUUGUCAGCCCUUUGUUUAUUGGUCUUUUGACUACAAAGUAGAGGAUGAUGCUCAGAAGAUACACUAUGUGCCCACUGCAGUUCUGGAGAAGUGAAAAGCUUUUCAAAAGGGGAAUAACAAUUCCUUAGAGACUCCAUUACGAGAAAUGGAAAUGAGGAGUAUUCACCAAAGGACAGAUUUCAAUGAAUAUGGAUGUUGUGUUCUGUCUGCCACCCCCCAGCAUGUGCUGUGGUAAAGAAAAAGAACUCUGCUUCUUCUCGAGUUGGAGUACCACGAGUCUGGCAAGUCUCCUACAACGUCCUGGGAUCAUCAGCCUUACUCAGAAAGUGCUGAAUGAUACAAAGAAAUGCUUUACAGGAGGCUCAGGUUAAUUUUUAUUCCAGUUUACUGUUAAUCCAUGGUACUUCAGAAGAUGCAGCUUGAUUGGCUAUAAACUUAUUCACACGGAACAAACAUUCCUGAAAAAUGAUUAUUAGACAAGUUGAAAAAAACAUGUCCAUCUCUGGCCCCAAAUGCAUUUGAAAAGGAGGGACUGCAGUGAUGUUGCGUCAGCUGCAGGAGCGGUGGAUUUCUGCUGAAACUACUCAGGAAUCUGGGAGAUCCAGCUAGCUGCAUUGCACAAUCCAAGCUGAGGUUUUGUGGUAAAACCCAUGGCUGCACUGAUGAGGAGGGUAGGAACUCUGAAAACUUACUUGAUCUUGACAGCAACUGGUCUAAACAAUGGGUUUAAAUUACCCUCUGCUGUUGAAGUGGCUAAGAGGGCCUGCUGAAUUCAACAACUAUUUUCUGCUUUCCUUCUUACAGCUAAGAUUAUUGGGGGACUAGAUUAUUUGGGUAGAUUAUUUGCUGUAAAAAACAGCUGAUCUACUCACCUCUGUGAUCUUUUGCCUGCUACACUGUCCUCUGCUCCGGGCUAACACCUUUAUCUAAUGUAAAAACAAAAUUGGUAAAUAUCUGAUCAUCAGAUAGUUUUCAAAGGCUUCUUUGGUUAUGCCCACCCUGAUGUGACCUCCUCUGCUAACUGUAACUCCUCUUCUAAACUGUUCCCCAAAACAGUGAGCUGGAGUUCACAGCCUCAGGGCCGGCAGAUGUAACUCUUUGAAAGGCACAGCUGGAGUAAGCGCAGUAACUACAUCUACACAAGAUGUGCUCCAAGACGUAUUGUGGGGUGUAAAAUAUCACCCUAUCCUAGACUUUCCUAGACUUGAAUUUCCACUGCAGAACCUCAGCUGUAGAAGGCUGUUCAGUUGUAGGAGGUUGUUUUAGCAAUGAGCCACUUCAUGUGAUAGGCAUAUUUAAAAACUUUUCCUUCCUUCUGGGCAUCUUUUUAGGCUUUUUUCCUUUAGUGUAAAAGGUUUUAAAUGUCUUAAACUUCACCUCCCGUUCUGUCUCCCAGACCGAGGCUAGGCUUAAUUAUAAAUGCAGUAUUUAUCACUGUUAGUAGGUACUUAAAACCAGGGCUGUAGGUGCAGCGCAGUUGUACCUCUGGUAAGUCACCACUGCUGCAUACCCUUUCAAAAUAAGCAGCUCCUUUCUGCUGAGAGUGCAGUGAGAUGGUGCUUAGGGCAGGACAGCUAGUUGUCAUAUGGAGGCUUUGCUCUGUUCUUUGUUUUCUUGAAAUCACGAGCUACCCCUCUAAAAAUCCCCAGGUCUGUUUUUUUUUUAUACGUAUAUAUAAACAGCAAAGCCUGCAAAGCAAAAGCCAUUGACACUUUUGCACACACAAAGCUGCUGUAACAUUUGUUAGGAAUGUGCAAAACCACAAUGUUUUCCAUCAAGUCAGUGCCCUGUUCAGCACUUAGUUCCCUCUCUAUUGCUCUGCACAUACAAGUCAUUUCAAUAUUUAAAUUAUUUUAAAAGCGAUCAUUUCAAGUUAAGGAUCUUACAUUGUUCUGGCAGUGAGAACUCAUCUGUCAGUCGUGUGCAAUCGUCCAAGCCUAUUUCCUUUCAUGAUUUUUAAGCUCGGAUAAUUGCAUGGUUUCAAAGCAACACCUUCUGGCAAGCCGCGGUAUUGCUUGUGCCAGCAGACCUUCCUCUUGGAUUUACUUGGGACAAAACAGCGACAGCACAGCGGCCUUCAGAGAUGGUCCCUGGUUGCUUAGCGAGCGCAAUGCAGUGUGAUUGACUUGAUUACUACGGCUUCCACUGGCAGAGAAGUAAACGUGGGGAGCGUUUUCCAGAUUUUUUUGGGCGAGCAAACAUAAGCACUUAGUGUUGUCACACAGAUAUAAUUGUCUUUUUCGUUUGUUUAUACUACACAGGCUAGUUUAGAGGGAAUAAUAUCACCCAAAACAAUACAGGACUUCAUUCAAAAAACUGAAGUCCAUGAACAAACGAUGCUUGCUAUCAUCCCUGUAUAUUAAUUCGGACAUUAGUG